ACCGGGAAAGGGAAUAACACUUGAAAUGUAUAUAAGAAAUACUCAAGUUAAUAAAAAUAAAUAAAUAAAUAAAUAAAUAAAUAAAUAAAUAAAAUGAAAGCUUUUCACUAUUUCUCUUCUUUCAGAAACAAAUAACUGACACAAUUAUCUAAUCUCAAAGAUAAAGAGGUUAUUAAUAUCUGGGCUGGGCUUGACUUGCAGCCGUGUGGACCCGGAUCAGCGACAGAACCCAGAUGCAGCAGUGUGCCUGGGAGAACCAGCAACAGACUAUCGGGGACAGACAAAUCUCUGGGCUCAACAGCUGACCAGCCAGCCUCGCCUACCUGGUGAGUUUCCCGGCAAGAAAGACCUUUUCUCAAACACAAAGCCGUCAUCUCCUGAAGACGCCAAUACUGUUCCUGUUAUGUUCCAACUCACCCUCCAGACCUGAGAAUUAUGAUUAUCAAACUGAGCCACAAUAUGGAUUUCAAAUUUUGUUGGACCACCAGAAGAAGUAAGUUCUUUCCUAAAAAAAGAUUUACAAAGUUCUCAAAAAGAGUCUUGUGUGUAUAUACACUCACACAUAAACAUAUAUUUGAACUAAAAAAUACAAAUAAAUACGCUUACCAUAUUCUUUCCCAA